UUAAAUUGAAGAGUUUGAUCAUGGCUCAGAUUGAACGCUGGCGGCAGGCCUAACACAUGCAAGUCGAACGGUAGCACAGAGAGCUUGCUCUCGGGUGACGAGUGGCGGACGGGUGAGUAAUGUCUGGGAAACUGCCUGAUGGAGGGGGAUAACUACUGGAAACGGUAGCUAAUACCGCAUAACGUCGCAAGACCAAAGAGGGGGACCUUCGGGCCUCUUGCCAUCAGAUGUGCCCAGAUGGGAUUAGCUAGUAGGUGGGGUAACGGCUCACCUAGGCGACGAUCCCUAGCUGGUCUGAGAGGAUGACCAGCCACACUGGAACUGAGACACGGUCCAGACUCCUACGGGAGGCAGCAGUGGGGAAUAUUGCACAAUGGGCGCAAGCCUGAUGCAGCCAUGCCGCGUGUAUGAAGAAGGCCUUCGGGUUGUAAAGUACUUUCAGCGGGGAGGAAGGUGUUGUGGUUAAUAACCACAGCAAUUGACGUUACCCGCAGAAGAAGCACCGGCUAACUCCGUGCCAGCAGCCGCGGUAAUACGGAGGGUGCAAGCGUUAAUCGGAAUUACUGGGCGUAAAGCGCACGCAGGCGGUCUGUCAAGUCGGAUGUGAAAUCCCCGGGCUCAACCUGGGAACUGCAUUCGAAACUGGCAGGCUAGAGUCUUGUAGAGGGGGGUAGAAUUCCAGGUGUAGCGGUGAAAUGCGUAGAGAUCUGGAGGAAUACCGGUGGCGAAGGCGGCCCCCUGGACAAAGACUGACGCUCAGGUGCGAAAGCGUGGGGAGCAAACAGGAUUAGAUACCCUGGUAGUCCACGCCGUAAACGAUGUCGAUUUGGAGGUUGUGCCCUUGAGGCGUGGCUUCCGGAGCUAACGCGUUAAAUCGACCGCCUGGGGAGUACGGCCGCAAGGUUAAAACUCAAAUGAAUUGACGGGGGCCCGCACAAGCGGUGGAGCAUGUGGUUUAAUUCGAUGCAACGCGAAGAACCUUACCUGGUCUUGACAUCCACAGAACUUUCCAGAGAUGGAUUGGUGCCUUCGGGAACUGUGAGACAGGUGCUGCAUGGCUGUCGUCAGCUCGUGUUGUGAAAUGUUGGGUUAAGUCCCGCAACGAGCGCAACCCUUAUCCUUUGUUGCCAGCGGUUAGGCCGGGAACUCAAAGGAGACUGCCAGUGAUAAACUGGAGGAAGGUGGGGAUGACGUCAAGUCAUCAUGGCCCUUACGACCAGGGCUACACACGUGCUACAAUGGCGCAUACAAAGAGAAGCGACCUCGCGAGAGCAAGCGGACCUCAUAAAGUGCGUCGUAGUCCGGAUUGGAGUCUGCAACUCGACUCCAUGAAGUCGGAAUCGCUAGUAAUCGUAGAUCAGAAUGCUACGGUGAAUACGUUCCCGGGCCUUGUACACACCGCCCGUCACACCAUGGGAGUGGGUUGCAAAAGAAGUAGGUAGCUUAACCUUCGGGAGGGCGCUUACCACUUUGUGAUUCAUGACUGGGGUGAAGUCGUAACAAGGUAACCGUAGGGGAACCUGCGGUUGGAUCACCUCCUUA
rnacentral:rRNA from 1 species